rnacentral:rRNA from 1 species
UAAGCCCAGCGCAUAACCUCCCGGGCUACCAAGCCUGCGGCGGAAUGUUGCGUUAAAGGAAAGGUCGUUAUAAAGCCCUGCACAGCGUAUUCCUAAGUUUGGCUGGAAUCUUCCACUGUUUUUUAACGAAAACAUCGGCUCCAUAGAGGGUGAUAGACCCGUGUGGCUACGUGGAUAUGUGCAUGGGUUCGGCUUUUUUCCUUGAGAGUCGCGUUGCUUGAACAUGCAGCGCUAAGCAGGACGUAAACUCGUCCUAAGGCUAAAUAUUUCCACAGAACCGAUAGUAAACAAGUACCGUGAGGGAAAGUUGAAAAGCACUCUGAAGAGAGAGUCAAAAGACCGUGAAACCGUUUAGAGUAUAAGCCAAUGGUAAUCCGGAAGGCAUGGAGCAGGCAAUUCCCUUGUGGGAAAAGCUGUCGUGUGUGAUAAAGAAGGCAAGGAAAGUGGAAGACAGUGGCAUUGAGUUGAUAGCACUCCUGUGAAAACUCGCGGGUCUCUGACAGUGGUAACUGGGAAGGUUCUAAUGAGGAUCCGACCCUAGGCUGGGCUUGUGCGAGCUCCUGCUUUGAGUCACACGUACGAGUUGCUUAUAAUACAGCCCACCACAACUCUUUAUAAGGUCACCCGCAUGAGACGUGGCUGUGUGUUGUCGUGGCGAGCCUCUGGUUACAGCAACAUGAGACCAGGGCCGGCCGACUUCCUCAUGUCCCCUAACGUGCGUUGGUAUGAUCCUAUGUGAAGGUUGUUUUCUGACCAUCCUAAAACCUAAAUGAGGCUGGAAAAGUCGGGGGAGUUUGUGGGCGUUCGGCAACGUUCGUGUGCUCCCGUUGGUGGCGGAUGCGUGGUGAUUUAUUCCGGAGCCAUUGGUCACGUCUCGAAACACGGGCCAAGGAGCAUAGCAUGUGCGCAAGUCUAAGGGUCCUAUAAAACCUGGAGGCGAAGUGAAAGCAAAUUGGUGUGUUCGUCGUCAGCCCUCGGGUUGUCGGCGGGCAGCUUACAUGUUACGUAAUUCCUAUUUGGAUGAAUGCGUCAUCGGCUACAACCGAGUUGAUCCUUCGUAAUAAAGCCUAAUGGCGAUACGUCGGCGCAAACUCCAGACUCUCUGGUCGGCACUUUGUCGUAUGAGAGUACUGUGUAGCGUGUAUGCUAUGACCCGAAAGAUAGUGAACUAUGCCUGGCGA